AUUUGCUCAGUGUGUCACUCAUUUUCCGACAUCAUUUUGGCUGGCUGGAUUCCAUCGCUUCCACGGGCAGUCUGCAUGUGUCUCCCCCCUCAUUUCUUUGUGACAAGCUCUCCAGCUCUGCUUCGGUCCUUCCACCCCCAGGAUAAAAAUGACUGAGACACCCCGUCACCAGAUUGCCGGCACUUUCCGCCUCCACCCCCACCAGCUUUAUCGAGAUAUAAUUGACAUAUAACCCUGGGUAAGUUUAAGGUGUUGGUCUGCCACACGUAUGUUGCCAAAUGAUUACCGCGAGGACGUGAGCUACCACCAUUCUGUCACAUAAUUACUUUGUGUGUGUGUGUGUGCGUGUGUGUGUGUGGUGAGAACAUUUGAGAUCUACUCUCAUAGCAAUUUUCUGACAGGCAUGGCACCAGGGCCACUACUCACUGACAUAUCCCAUCCAAACCCAACUGCCAACUUCCCUCAACCCUCCUAAGAAUCACUCAGCACAAGUCCGAAACCUAUAAGAAGAACCUCUUCACAAGCCGUCCUGUGGGUACCACCCCCCCCCCCCCCGCCCCGUGUGCUCUCUCCCUUUGCUACAACAAGCUAAAUACACCUAACUUUGACCACAGGUACAGUCCUGGUGGUCUUUGGUUGGUGAGGCUCGACAUCCUGUAAGACUAAGUCACUUCUGCUGUCAUCAUAAGCAGCUGAUGUACAGUUUCAAAUAUUUUUAGGUAUCAGCAAGGGAUAAUUACCGGUAAUCAACCUGCUAGUAAUUUGGCAUGUUGUAAGAGUGUCCUGAGGAUGUGAAGCUGAUGUUCUCCGAAAUGUGGCUCAGGCAGCUGGUAAAUGCAGAGUUCCGCCCUCGUACGCAGCAGAGGCAGACUUCCCCGUCUGCGUAUCAUCAAUAUUGGAAGUGACUAACAGGAAAGUGUUCAGAGUUGGCUUGGCUGCCUGGAGGCCAGGGGAAGCCUCAGCUCUCCUGGACCCCUUUGAGCCUCCGGUUGGUUAGCCCCGAUUUUUUUCUCACUUCCUCUCUAGCCUAGCGGCCAAAGCAAGUCCCAGGACCAGCCCUGUAUUCACAGUGGGUGGAAGCUACAAAGUCCUAGGACAACAGGCGUGGAUACAGGGUGGCCAUUAAUUGAAGCCAUUGACACUAUUGUUUAACAUCUCUGUGUCUUGUCUGCAGAAUGGAGAAAACAAAACCUACCUCACAGAGUUUUCUUGCGAAAAAAAUAUAGAAAAUAAAUAUAAUGUGUAAAAUAAUCUACAUGUAUAUCAUAUAUAUGUAUAUGAUAUAUAAAAAUGUAUAAUAUAUAUGUAUAUAAAUAUAUGAAAUUUAUCUAAAAGGAGUUAACAUAUUGAAAAUGUUGGGGUAAGUGUCUGGCCCGGUGGGUACUAUACAAACAUUUUUUAUUGUUGUCUUGAGUUGAUUGUAGUUUCAUAUUAAGGGUCUCUCGUUUUAUACAUUUUUCUUGGUUUUAUUCAAUCAUCUAUUUUUUGUGGUUGCCUGGUUAACCCUACAGUCAACAGGGGUGCCUAUUUUCAUCAAUAGUAUUUUUGGCCUACUGUUUUCCACAAUCAGAGCUUACGACGUAUAUGCAUUUGGGCUCAUGUGAAACCAUCCAGUUUCCUAUUGCGAAAGUAGAUAUAUUGUAAUUUCCCUGGAAUUUUCUUGAUCAGUCUCACAUUAUUAGAUGUGCUUCCCCUGAACUUGUGUUAUUUGACUAACUUCCAAACAAAAUCUCAAUGUAUGUGUAAUAAAAUCAUUGGGUUAUUUUUAAGUGCCUAGAGCAUAGUUUCAUAAUAUAAAAUCUGAUAUAAGCUUAAAUUGCAACUUUGAGGGUUUUUUCCCUCUCCAAUCCUUGGUAGAGUUCUCUUCUCCACUGACAACUGGGAUCGGGAGGGAGAGAUUGUCCGAGGGGUCUGUGAAAGGCAUCCCUUGGGAUUGCACAGUACACAACCUGUGCGAUCAAACACAGUGUCUCUGGGACUGUCCCCCCAGUGGACAUGAGCUUUGGUCAAAAAAGUUGAAGAAACACCCGUAAAGAGCCACUUCUAGUGUAAUUCUCACUGUGCUGUUUUCCUGAGUCCAUUUCACUGGUUUGUCUCUGUUGUUUUUCAUAAAUCGAGGCAAAUGCUGUUAACACAGGCUUUUUAGGGUAAGCCAGCAUCGUACAGAGACCAAAACGCCUUUUAGAUAGUUGCCUCUCAGUGUUGACUUGAUUACGUUUCACAGAGCUUGGCCAGCUCCAGCCAGCUUUCUUACAGGGAUCUUCACAACCUACAGGGUUAUCAAGAGACACGUCAGACUUUGAAUGGCAUGGUCAAGGUCAAGGUCAGGCAGUAGUGUGUCAUAGCACUCCCAUGCAGCCCAGCCCCUGACUCCAGGCCUACACAAUGCCCACCACACUGUAUCCUCUCUUUUUUAAAAACUGAAAAAAAGGGAAGAAACAAAGAAAGCAGAGCACUGAGAUCAACAACAGGUUCUUUCUAAAGACAAAAGCACCAUCUGGGGACAGAUGGGAUGUAAAUAUUAAACCUCCCCCCCAAAAACACUCAGAGUUACUGUCUGGUAAGAAACAGGCUUUUAAAUUGGUUUUCAAAUAGAGAGAGUGUUUUUAUUCAUCCUUAUAUAACUGUAAAAAUGACUGAACACUUUGGACUAUACAUUUUUUCAAUCUUUCCCAAAUGAAAUCACCUUUGGUAGAGAACCAAGCAUGGAAAAUUUCAGCUCAAAAAAAAAAAAAAAAUGACUCUGUAAAAUCAUGGAGCAAUUUAGAAAAAGUGGUGGAAAGAAAACAUGUGUUUAGCCAGAGAUAGUAACACUGGUUGGUCCGAAGUGGUUGAGAAUGGAUGCUUCUGAAUAAACAAAUUUCUAUACAACCGAAGCAUAAUCUGUUAUUGUUUUGCAUGGAAAUUCAUCAAUUUCUUUUCCAUUGUUAGCUGUUGAAAAUAAGGCAGUGCCAAUAUUUUUAAAAAGAAUCGUUAAACAAAUUUGGGGCCACAGUUUCAUGUUUAAUAUCUUUGUCAUACAAAUGGAAAAGAAAUACGGGUGGUAGGAUUCCAGAGGUUUGGAAUGUUUAAAAAAAAAAUCUUUCAAUAAAUAUGACAGAAAUGUUUAGGUCUACUUUAUGCUUCCUAAAAUAACUAGCCAAAAUUUUAAAAAUAGAAUGUCUUCUCAGAAAAAAAUAGAAAGUACUGAUAAAAAGGAAGAAAAUAAAAACCACCUAUGGCCAGUGACCGGAGAUAGCCAAUGUUACCGUUUGUUUUUAUCCUUAGCAUUUGUGUGUGUGUACAAAUUUAACUUUAGGUCUUCUUGCAAACAUGGGGUUAAACUUCACAAAUUAUUUCAUAACUUUCUUUACACUUAAUAACGUAUUGUGUAAUAUAAGACUUUAGCAUUGUUUUCAAAUAAAUCCAAGUCCCAAAACUGUGUAUUUUCCCCUAUAACUGUGGAUAUCACUUUUUAAUGCUCUUUGAUCAGUUCAUUUGAUCAUUUUAUUUUGCUACAUUGACUAUCUAUCAUUCUACCAGGAAUAAAUCAUUUAAAUUACUAAUUUUUUUUAAGUUUAUUCAUUUACUUUGAGAGAGCAAGUGAGUG